UGUGCUUCCUGUCUUUGUCUAUUUUCCUUGGUUGCUAUUCUGCCUUUGUCGUUCAUAUUAAGUCGCUGAUGGAUGGAAGUAAUCGGGUCGCCGAAGCUGGGAUACUGAUCACGAGCUCGAUCUGAUGCUGAAUUUGUUGUUUUUCUCCCUUUCGAGUGGUGCUCUGUCUUCCUUCUCCUUUGUUCAGACAAAAAUUCCAUCUUCUUUCCUUAUUCUGUCGGCAGCUUCUUGAUCUCUCCCUCAUUUGCUGUUAUUAGUUAGUGAUUAAGUCUACAAUUCUGUUGCUCACUGUUGAAGAGGUCGGAGUCAUGAGUUCGUCGUUCCCCUGUUCUUUGUUUCACCAUCGAUUACUUCUUCUCCCUUCCUCAUUGACAUCAUUUAGGUGCUGGUGAGUGAAGCUCGUCCUUCGUCCUCCUCCUUCGUGCAACAGCGUCUCUUUCCUCCUCCUCCUCCAUCAAGUUUUGUUGGACUUCCUUUCCCCUGUACAGCUCCUGCAAAUCUUCUCCCUUCUUGUUGUGCUAUCUAUGAUUAAGAUGGUAUAGUUGAACUCGUGACUCGAGACAUCCACUGAGGAGUUUUAUUGCUGAAUUGAAGCAGAAGAAUUAUUUUAGUCAAAUCCUAGUUUGAUGAAAAUUUGAACUUUAUACCUACGUUGGUGUCUGGCCUUAGGUGCUCCACGUAGACUAUAGGUAAGAUCCUCACGUUUCUUUUAAAAUUGAAUAUCUGAUUUAAUAUUGUAACAAUUUUUAAUUCCUCUAUUAGUGUGUUUAACGUAUUAAUUUCAGAGUUCCUCCAAUCACGGCUUAAGGGAUGUGAAGUUUGUGCCCAUAUCCCGUGCCGGGCACACCUGAUUUUUAGGGUGUGACAUAUUUGGUGCAAAGCUUAUGAAAAUUUUUUCCUCAAGGAGGAGAAAAAGAAAACGGAAUGAAGGGAUGUGAGGAUCAAAAGGCUAAAAUUCCUUCUCACAUGUAGUGGCUUGCGUUGGGUGGAAGAGUGCUAUAGAUUCUUUGCCGGGGCAGUUUCGUCUUUUCCUUCUAUUUCCCUCUAGUACACUUUCCCUGCCACGUUUCCUUCAACUUUGAUGCUCUAAACCAGAAAUCUAUUUAGUUUUUAUUAA